GACGAACGCUGGCGGCGUGCCUAAUACAUGCAAGUCGAACGCAGUGGGGACGGGUGAGUAACACGUGGGUACCCUCCCCAUCAGUGCGGAUAACACUUGGAAACAGGUGCUAAACCGAUACUGAUGGCGGGUACCGCGGUGCAUUAUCUACUUGGUGGGGUAACGGCUCACCCAGGCCACGAGGCAUAGCCGACCGGGGAGGGUGAUCGGCCAAGCUGGAACUGAGACACGGCCCAGGCGCCUACGUGAGGCGGCAGGAGGGAAUCGUCGGCAAUGGACGAAAGUCUGACCCAGCAACGCCGCGUGAGUGAAGAAGGUUUACGGAUCGUAAAACGCUGUUGUUAGAGAAGCGGUAUCUGACCAGAAAGCGACGGCUAACUACGUGCCAGCAGCCGCGGUAAUUC
rnacentral:rRNA from 1 species